rnacentral:rRNA from 1 species
GUGGGGAAUCUUGCGCAAUGCGCGAAAGCGUGACGCAGCAACGCCGCGUGGGGGAAGAAGGCCUUCGGGUUGUAAACCCCUUUCAGUUGGGACGAAGCUUCGCCGGUGAAUAGCCGGCCGGAGUGACGGUACCUUCAGAAGAAGCCCCGGCUAACUACGUGCCAGCAGCCGCGGUAAUACGUAGGGGGCAAGCGUUGUCCGGAAUCAUUGGGCGUAAAGAGCGUGUAGGCGGCUCGGUAAGUCCGCUGUGAAAGUCCAGGGCUCAACCCUGGAAUGCCGGUGGAAACUGUCGAGCUAGAGUCCGGAAGAGGCGAGUGGAAUUCCUGGUGUAGCGGUGAAAUGCGCAGAUAUCAGGAGGAACACCAAUGGCGAAGGCAGCUCGCUGGGACGGUACUGACGCUGAGACGCGAAAGCGUGGGGAGCAAACAGGAUUAGAAACCCCUGUAGUCC